rnacentral:rRNA from 1 species
UGGGGAAUAUUGGACAAUGGGGGCAACCCUGAUCCAGCAAUGCCGCGUGUGUGAAGAAGGCCUGAGGGUUGUAAAGCACUAUCAGUGGGGAGGAGGCUUUGAUGGUUAAGAGCUGUUGAAGUGGACGUUACCCACAGAAGAAGCACCGGCUAACUCCGUGCCAGCAGCCGCGGUAAUACGGAGGGUGCGAGCGUUAAUCGGAAUUACUGGGCGUAAAGGGUGCGCAGGUGGUUUUGUAAGUUAUCUGUGAAAGCCCCGGGCUUAACCUGGGAAAGCCAGAUAAAACUACGAGACUCGAGUACGGGAGAGGGCAGUGGAAUUUCCGGUGUAGCGGUGAAAUGCGUAGAGAUCGGAAGGAACACCAGUGGCGAAGGCGGCUGCCUGGCCUGAUACUGACACU